rnacentral:lncRNA from 1 species
CUAGAGACUAUGAGUCUAUGAAUCAUAUAAUCGAUAUAUAAAAUAAAAGAAAGAAACAAAUAUAUGUACCUGGUAAAGUGGUAAAGUGAGAACGAAGAUGGUGGAAACAAAUAAGGUGCAGGCUCCGGCGACAAUGGAUUCGGAGGUCAAGUUUCAACAGCCAACAGUCCGGCGAGGCGGCGACUAGCAAAGAUGAGAGAGAGCAUAUGAUACGAACGACGUGAACAAUCCGACGACCGGAAAAGAGUACAAGACAACAGUGGUCUUAACGGGCGGCGAUGUUCUUCCGGUGAGUUCGAGAAAUAGUAUUCUGGAGGCCGAAAUAAACUAGGUUUAAAGUUUUCAGUUUUCUUAAACUCAAAUUUGGGUUAAACUGUUAUAAUUUGGAUUAGAUCGUUGAAUUUUUAUAGAUAUUAAGUUUUCUUAUUUUCUAGAAUCCUAAAUAAACAAGGUUGGAUUUGAUUUUGUUUGUUAUCUUCCGAAAAUUUUGUUACCGGUUAUUCCUAUAUAUAUAUCAUGUAUAUUCAUUUGAUCUAGAAACCGGGGGUGGCAAAGACGUCAUUCUAGUAUAUUUUUUUUCUUAUCUGAUUAUGUAUAUCAAGCAUUAAAAGGCCUAAUGGCCUCCCCCAGACAUUUAGUUGUAUGUGGUACAAGUUAUUAUAUUUUACAAACAAUGCUAUAUUGGUAACUUGUAUAUUCUGCAUUGGAAGUUGCACAAUCUAGUAUUAAUUUCCUUCUUUUUGAUAGUUCGAGAUAGCUUCGAUGAUUGUAACCACCAGUAGAACGUUUCUUUCGGCGGCAUGCGCUUUGGAAUAUUUAAAGGCUAAAGCUGGAUUUAGAGCUUGGCUUGAGCCAGUCAGCUUUUCAAGCCAUGUAUGGCUCUCUACUCUGAUUUAAAUAAUUAAAAAAAAAAAUUGUCAAAACAAAAUCCUUUUUGUUAAACCAAAAAAGAC